rnacentral:rRNA from 1 species
GACGUAGGGCGCAAGCGUUGUCCGGAUUUAUUGGGCGUAAAGAGCUCGUAGGCGGCUUGUUGCGUCGUCCGUGAAAACCCGCAGCUCAACUGCGGGCUUGCGGACGAUACGGGCAGGCUAGAGUUCGGUAGGGGAGACUGGAAUUCCUGGUGUAGCGGUGAAAUGCGCAGAUAUCAGGAGGAACACCAAUGGCGAAGGCAGCACUCUGGGACGUGACUGACGCUGAGACGCGAAAAGCGUGGGGGAGCAAACAGG